rnacentral:rRNA from 1 species
AUGAACGCUAGCUACAGGCUUAACACAUGCAAGUCGAGGGGCAUCAGGAAGAAAGCUUGCUUUCUUUGCUGGCGACCGGCGCACGGGUGAGUAACACGUAUCCAACCUGCCCUUUACUCGGGGAUAGCCUUUCGAAAGAAAGAUUAAUACCCGAUAGCAUAAUGAUUCCGCAUGGUUUCAUUAUUAAAGGAUUCCGGUAAAGGAUGGGGAUGCGUUCCAUUAGGUUGUUGGUGAGGUAACGGCCCACCAAGCCUUCGAUGGAUAGGGGUUCUGAGAGGAAGGUCCCCCACAUUGGAACUGAGACACGGUCCAAACUCCUACGGGAGGCAGCAGUGAGGAAUAUUGGUCAAUGGGCGUUAGCCUGAACCAGCCAAGUAGCGUGAAGGAUGAAGGCUCUAUGGGUCGUAAACUUCUUUUAUAUAAGAAUAAAGUGCAGUAUGUAUACUGUUUUGUAUGUAUUAUAUGAAUAAGGAUCGGCUAACUCCGUGCCAGCAGCCGCGGUAAUACGGAGGAUCCGAGCGUUAUCCGGAUUUAUUGGGUUUAAAGGGAGCGUAGGUGGACUGGUAAGUCAGUUGUGAAAGUUUGCGGCUCAACCGUAAAAUUGCAGUUGAUACUGUCAGUCUUGAGUACAGUAGAGGUGGGCGGAAUUCGUGGUGUAGCGGUGAAAUGCUUAGAUAUCACGAAGAACUCCGAUUGCGAAGGCAGCUCACUGGACUGCAACUGACACUGAUGCUCGAAAGUGUGGGUAUCAAACAGGAUUAGAUACCCUGGUAGUCCACACAGUAAACGAUGAAUACUCGCUGUUUGCGAUAUACAGUAAGCGGCCAAGCGAAAGCAUUAAGUAUUCCACCUGGGGAGUACGCCGGCAACGGUGAAACUCAAAGGAAUUGACGGGGGCCCGCACAAGCGGAGGAACAUGUGGUUUAAUUCGAUGAUACGCGAGGAACCUUACCCGGGCUUGAAAGUUAGCGACGAUUCUUGAAAGAGGAUUUCCCUUCGGGGCGCGAAACUAGCUGCUGCAUGGUUGUCGUCAGCUCGUGCCGUGAGGUGUCGGCUUAAGUGCCAUAACGAGCGCAACCCUUAUCUUUAGUUACUAACAGGUCAUGCUGAGGACUCUGGAGAGACUGCCGUCGUAAGAUGUGAGGAAGGUGGGGAUGACGUCAAAUCAGCACGGCCCUUACGUCCGGGGCUACACACGUGUUACAAUGGGGGGUACAGAAGGCAGCUAGCGGGUGACCGUAUGCUAAUCCCAAAAGCCUCUCUCAGUUCGGAUCGAAGUCUGCAACCCGACUUCGUGAAGCUGGAUUCGCUAGUAAUCGCGCAUCAGCCACGGCGCGGUGAAUACGUUCCCGGGCCUUGUACACACCGCCCGUCAAGCCAUGGGAGCCGGGGGUACCUGAAGUACGUAACCGCAAGGAUCGUCCUAGGGUAAAACUGGUGACUGGGGCU